UUUCUCGUUCCUCCUGUAGUCCUGUGAACCCUAAUGAAACCCCAAAUCCUUUUCCCUCUUCUAGAGAAAGUUCUGAAAUCGUUCAAAUGAAAACCUAUGUUCUUCAUCACUUCCUGCAUCUUCUCGAUUGAAAAACCAGUAUCUAACCCCUAACCCUAGAUUUGCUUAAAACAGAUUUGAUGUUCCUGCUGCUGAACAAGACGAACCAAGCAAAUAAUUUUUGUAUUGAAACUCACUAAUCUCGUGUAAUAGAUUUACAGUUUCUGUUACAUUUCUGAACAAAUCAAUUAAGUGGUUCGAUUCUAGCACUGGUGGUGGUGAAGAAGAACUCAAUAUCUUCAAACAAAGAAUCGAUUCAUUGGUAGUCUGUGUUGUCAAUGAUAAAUUCUAUUCGCGAUUAGUUGGGGUUGCGGGUUACUUAGACUGGUAUUUAUUGUGAUUCCUGAUGAUGAUGGUGUGGUGGUGGUGAUGAAGAAAAAGAUUGCUCUUCACCGUGCUUGCCCUUAAAAGUUGGGGUUUUAUACCUUAAACAUUUCAGUCCAUGUCUAUGUCAGUCAAUACUAUUAUUCAUUGCAGGACGACCACCUUGGUGUGUCUGUCAUUCGAGCAUUGUACGUAGUUUUUUCUUGAAAUUAACAUGUAUGAUUGAUUUUUGGGGGUAGCCUGUGAUGUUAAAUCACUGAAAAUUGAUCUUAUGAGCUUUCUCACGAGUCAUGGUUAGGAUGAUGCUUGUAUUCACUCUAGUUGCGUGCAUCAUGGUUGGAAUGGUGUAUUUCCGAAUGGAGAAUGGAAUGAGUGUAUGGUUGAUAAGAAUGUAUGAAUGUCAAGCUGCAGAAUGGAGUGAGAAGGUACUUGAAACAUACUGCUUUGGGAUGAACUUGUUGCUUCCUUUUGCCAGAGAGGACUGAACUUAUUUCUGGACCUGAUGGAGAGGUACCUGCCAGUAGUGAUGUUGUUCACAUAUUUCAGUUACUGAUGAAUGGGGAGAUGAAGCGAUAGAUUUUUCCAGAAAAAACUCCAUAGGAUCUCUUGCUAUGUCUAAUAGAGAGGCAUGAAGAAAUAUGGGAUAAAAUUGGGGAGAGUGAUACUGGAAUAGAUAAGCUGCUUUUGAAUCUUCUUUUGCUACUUGAACAAGAAUGCUUGGAGUUUGUUCAUCGUGUUUAUAUUUUUUCGGUCUGUAUGUUCCCUCUUUCUAUGAAGAUGAUCUCCCUGUAGAAAGCAAGGGUGUGGGUAGGAAAGUUCUUGACGGGACAUACGAGAAGGUAUUGCCAAUUUGGGUGAUUUGCGGUUUAGGGUGUUGGAGUCAGCUGGUCUUGAAACAGCAGCAACUUCAGGAAGUAUUCUUGAUAGAACUACAGGAAUGACUGGUCAUGUACUUGAAAGGUCUCAAUUUGCGAUGUUCUUGAUUGACGUGAGAGAUGGAUUGCAGCCUCUUGAUUUCGAGGUGGGGUCGUGGUUGCGCAAACACGUGUCUGGAAUCCCUACUCUUCUAGUGAUGAAUAAGUCUGAAUCCCUACAGUUCAGCAGACGUAUGCCUCCCAGUUAGCUGGAAAAGAAUUUGCUUAUGAUGGUGAGAAGAGUUUGUUUACUGUUGGUCCUCUUCCACAAACUAGAGUUCACUGUUAUGCUUGAUGAGAUGUCAUCAAAUAGGAAUAUUGGGAAUGUUAGCCAUGCUGGUAAUGGAAACCCCGCUGAUGCUGAUUGAAAACGGAUGAAACUGUCAUAUCAUUCCCUUCAAUGUGGAGCUUAGUUUUGCAGCCAAAACUCCAAAACAGGUCAUUGGAAAAUGUUCUCCAUGGUCAGGAAUCAGAGAACUCUAAAGAAGCACUAUGAUAUUGGAUAUCAUUUUAAGGAAGCAUGUUGCCAAACAGGGUGCCUUCUUGUUCGUCAAUUCUUUUUUCACAACAAUCCAAAGAAUUUCGCAGACUUGGGAAGAGGUGUCAUUGGAUGCAGGGGAUUGCAUUUAGUUUCAAAGUUAGACAAGGUGGACUGAACAUUGAUGUAUCUAUUUCAAUGAUAAUACAACUAGGACGAAUUAUAGUGUGAUGGAUCCAGGUGACAUUGACUUGGAAAAUGUUAUAGAUGUGAUGAUCUGUAUUCAGAUUUAUGGAGAGCUUGUGCUGGUCCUCGUGUUGAUGUUCCAAAAAUUAGUGAAAGGGUUUAUUACUUCCCUCAAGGUCGUAUGGAGCAAUAUACUUGAGCUGGCCAGCUCUCAUGGUCAAUACUUCUACAAGUCCUUCCGCCAGUAUUGUUCACCAAUGGUAUUGUUUACUAAUGUAUUGUUCACCAAUAUGGUUCCAUGUUUUAUUUUGGUUUGAACUGAAUUGUUUCAUUUUCUGUUUGUAUUUUUUGGUAGUUUCUGUAUCAGAAUGUAUACUUUUCAGAUUUCUCUAAAUGUUAUGUUAUGGUUUUCAUGUUU